GAUCAGGCUGAAAUCAAACAUUAGAACCAAUGCUUAGUGGCUGAUUGGUAUGAACAUGGAUCAUAAUAAUCAACAGCGCUUUAGAUUUUGAGUACCGUGUGGUAUGGAGAUGGAGAAGGGCUUUUGAAUGGGUGAAAGGGGCUUGCAUUGCUUCGGGUAUCUGCCUCAUACGUUCGAUCCUGCUGUUCUCGGCUAUACUCGCUUGACUUUCUACGACGUUCAGGCUGCAAUACAAAGACCGUUUCAUGCUGCAAUAAAAAAAAGAAGGGACAAACUCAUCUACAGAUUCGAAAAUUUUGUUUGGAGGCAAAGGAAACAGAUAAUAGGAUCUUUUUAUAGUAGAGUACCGUGCCAUAUCCGUACACAGGAGGCCUAGGGUGGGAGUUGGGGACGCGUUCAGACGCCGGUUGUUUCGGGUAUGUUCUUUGUUCACGGGAGAUAGGGAAAUCAUACUCUGUCUCGGCUCUUUUGUUGGAGAGAUACGAAGGUGGCGGAGAUCUACCAGCGGCGGGAUGAGGAGGGGUCGCCGGAUUGCUCUUGCUCGCACUUUUCUUCCCGAACAGUCCUGAAGAGACGUACCAAACAAAAUAAAACUGGUCAACGUUUGGAUUUAGCUUAGUCAACGGAAGUUAUCAACAUAAGAAGAUACUUCUUGUAAGAUAGGAUUUGAGAAAAUGAUCCUUGUCUGUAACCAGAUUUAAACAUUUCUGGCGACUUUUUCCGGUGGUAUUCAUAUCGGACAGAGUGCAAGUGUGAAGGGACUUUCCAGAGUUGGAAAAAUUACCUGAUCGUUUUCCAUCUUUCUUUGAACUGAAGAAGUCCAUAUUGCACAAGAUGGGGCUAAACUGGAUCGGUAAAUAAGUUGCCUGUAAAACCGGAAAAUCAGAUAACCAUUUAACUGGUUAUGUAUGUAAGUAUAUACACGCCCGCGUUCAUUACCUGGAAUUUUUGAAGCAGGGAGCUGGGUUGUGAGCUGUUGUUGCCGGAGAGAGAUGGCUUUUGGUUAGUUUCGUCUUUGCUACGUAUUACUUCAUAUGAUUUUAUAUAACGAGUCAGAGGAGCCUAUAAUGCUAAUUGAAAGUCUACCAUACUUAUUCAUCUGACUUUGACUAUUACAAACGGACAAGAUCGUAAUCAUUAUUUAAUUGCUUCCAUCUAAUCUUCUACCACUUGUUUUCUUUUCUUUGUUUCAAGUAGCCGCAGCCAUGAUUUACUUGGUCAAUGGUACUCUGGUUCUGAAAAAAAAUCUACUUUGAAUAUUUCUGACUACGUUAUGAUUGUUUUUUUCUGAUUAGUGAGCCUAUAGAUGGGCUCAUAAGUCAUAUGCAGUGCCCAAUAUAACCACCAAUCACGAAAUGGGCUAAAAUUAAAGGAAAUAAGACUAAAUCCUCUUUUUUAUCAACCAACCAGGAUUGAUAGGAAAAAUGUUCGGUUACAAACAAACCAGAAGGAUCAAGAUGGGAAAGCUAAUGCAGAUACAAGUGUCAUUCGGGAUAAAUGCAUCAGCACACGUUCGUUGAUUGUGUCUGUGGUGGUUUUGUCUUCAAGGGUGCUUCUCCUACUCGGCUACAAGGGCUUGGAGGAAAAUGUAUACAGGCCGUGUAGACUGUGGACAUAAUGUAUACGUUGGCAAGGACGUGAACUGUCUGAAGCGUCUCUAUGUGGUGAUUUCGUGGCAGGCCGUGUGGACAUAAUGAAUCCAGUUCAAUGGUACGAGCAUUUUCAGAGAAUAGCGAUGCAGUCAUGCAGAUCAUGUGAUCGAAGGAGGACCGCAGAGUUGCCUAGGAAGCGUUAAAAGAGAAUGUGAAUACUGAAUAGAGUUCACAUUGUGACAAAUAAUGACUUCUACGUAAAAGGUAAAAAAAAUAUCUCCACGCGCGCGAUGAUAACCAAUCCCACUCUCAUCAAAUGCGCACGAAGCUCGUUUAAGUCUGGAAGUCUAUAACCCACAGAUUUCAGCCCUUUUUGACAUAAUUUAUUAGAAAGGGAACGACCUGAAGCGCGUUGACUGCCGUUUGCAUAAUGCCCUGUGAAUAAUAAACUUUUUUAAUAUUCAAUAAUACGAAUAACUAUUUCGAUUUUCUUCAAAUCUCACUUUUUUUUUUUCAAAUCUCACUUCAUCAACUUUUUAAUUAAUAAAUUUUAGAAAUGAUCCGCACGUUGCAUGGAUUGAACUUAAAUCAAAUUAUAACAAAUUACUAGAUUUUGACUCGCGCUUGAGAAACACGGAUAACUUUUUGGUAUUAAAAAAUAAUCAAGUUGCAUCAAUUUAGGAAAAAUAAUUAAGUUGCAUCAAUUUAGGAACAACCAAAAUAACUAACUAUAUAAUUAUAAAAAAAUAACUUUACAUAAGAUUUAUUAGGUUUCUAAUGAAUAGGUCCAACAACUUUUUAUAAGUAGAUUUUUUUAAAAAUCCUUCCCUUUUAA